rnacentral:rRNA from 1 species
GUUGGUGCUGAUGACGCCGAGGGUACACCCGUUCCCAUCUCGAACACGGUAGUUAAGGUCGGUAGUGCUGAAGAUACUUGGCUGGCAACGGCCCGGGAAAAUAAGAAAGUGCCAACA